AGAACAAAAACUGCUGACACAAACUGAUCUCCUCUGACAUCCAAUUCAUGGCCUUUUGAUAUACCCAUUUGGGUCCAACUUUGGAUAAUGCAAAUGCUUUGAAGGCUCAACUCGUUCAGCAGAAGGGUAUUGUUAAUAGUCUUGUCUCCAAUACACGGCAUUUGGAAAGUAAGAUACUGGAGGCAAGGUCAAAGACAGAUACUUUGAAAGCACGUGCACAGUCUGCAAAUUUUGGCCAUGGAGUCGCAAGCCGAGGCACUUAAUCAGCUAACAACUGACAAUCUUGAAGGAAGGGUAGCAUUUUUCACUUCUUCGGUUCAUCAUAUUCAUAUUUUGUGUUUUCUCACUAAUGUUUAAGAAUCAGCAUGCAAAUCGACUUUUAUAGAAGGGGUCAGGUUCCUUGUGAAAAUAGAUGAACAAGUGGAAGUAAGUUGCUAAAAUUUCUCUUUUUGAUGCGU